AAGAUGAUACUUUCAGGGAUCAUUUCUAUAGUUUGUUACCAGAGAAGUUUCUCUGAUCAUGCAUAGUACCUGAAAACAUGAGGAGGAGACACAGAAUCCUCUCCUAACUGUGAAGCUGGUUCUAGGUGUUGCUUUUGCAACUGCCUUUCCUCAUUGAUGAUUGUUCUUCUCCUUCUUUGAAAGAGAGAGCCAGAGGAUGCAGACAGAGAGAU